GACCGAAUGGCAUAGUGGUUACUGGUUAGUGACCCUGACUACUGAGCCGAAGGUCCCGGGUUCGAUUCCCGGCUGGGGCA
rnacentral:tRNA from 1 species